UACGAAGGGGGCUAGCGUUGUUCGGAAUUACUGGGCGUAAAGGGCGCGUAGGCGGUGUGUCAAGUCAGGCGUGAAAGCCCCGGGCUCAACCUGGGAACCGCGCUUGAGACUGGCACGCUCGAGUUCGGGAGAGGAUGGUGGAAUUCCCAGUGUAGAGGUGAAAUUCGUAGAUAUUGGGAAGAACACCGAUGGCGAAGGCAGCCAUCUGGACCGACACUGACGCUGAGGCGGCGAAAGC
rnacentral:rRNA from 1 species